ensembl:lncRNA
CCAUCUGACUACCGAUCUCUCUCUCUCUCUCUCUCUCUCUCUCUCUCUCUCUCUCUCUCUCUCUCCGUAUAGAGAAAUAAAGAAUGUGGACUGUGUAGCCUUUAGAGAACCUAGACUGAGGCUAUUUAUCUCCAGGUCCAUAUAUUAUCUCCAGGUCCAUAUUUUAUCUCCAGGUCCAUAUAUCAUCUCCAGGUCCAUAUAUUAUCUCCAGGUCUAUAUAUUAUCUCCAGGUCUAUAUAUUCCCCCAGACAGUAACACCCAGACUCUUCCCAUCAUGGCGUGCUACUUCAACAGGACCAGGAAGAGAAACGUCACCCUCUUUCAUCUGGACAUAACUCCACAAGACAACAAAACUGUCCAUGGUAGAAAAGGGGUCUCCUGGGAGAUGCCUGUUGUCUCACACUAAAAGGCCAGCUAUGUGAUCGGGAAUACCAAGUCAGAACUGAAUGCAUUCAACCAGAAUGUGUCUUCUGCAGUUAACCCAACCCCUCUGAAUAAGAGAGGUGUGGGGGGCUGCCUUAUUCGACGUCCAUGGUACUGUUGUUGUUAUGGGAUAACUCAAGGGCAGAACGGCGCAUUUUUCCACCUUGCCGACUCAGGGAUUAGAACCAGCGACCUUUCGCUUUCUGGCCCAAUGCUCUUAAGUGCCAGGCUACCUGCCGCUAGAUACCUGCAGCAGAUCCCAGAUCAGUUACAGAGAUGUGGGCUUAGGGUCAGGCUCGGGGUGUUUGAAGAAGCGAAACUGUAUCAGAGUCUGUGACAUAGGUGAAGACAUAGUGCCUGUACUGUAGAAUCACUUGAGCUAUAGGCUGGAUAUGUGUUAGUGGGUCUGUUUGGUCUGAGACCACAUUCAUGCAGUUGUCCUCUGACAUGGUAGAUUCAGUCCUGUCAUUGACUGAAGAAAUAGCAAAACCUAUGGACUGUGGGAAUGGUCAUCCCUUGUGUACAUCAAAAUAAAUCUAUCUUUAGUGUAAAUUAAAGUCAGAAAGAAGAAAAAUCACCAACACGUACGUACACACACACACACACAUAACGGUCUCUGACCUAACCCAAGAGACAUACAAUAAACCCGUGUGUGAAAGACCUUGAACUGGUUCUACUGUUUGUAAAUCCCACAUGUUAGGACUGGUUGUGGUUAUUGCAUAUCUUUUAUUUAACACUUAGUUUAAGUCUUGAUUGUAUCCCAAAGGAAUUUGCUCUCGAGGCCCUGGCUUGAGUUUAGAGCUUCAGGUUUUAUUUGCUUUGUUGACACCCUGAUGUUUAUUAAUGCAGUGAACCAGGGGGAAGCUCAGGACCCUCCCUGUGGUUGGUCUCACAAGGUUGCCUAAGAUAAAUGUGACACUGAUUCUACCAACCAAUAUUUAUUUGCUUUUUAAAUCUUUCUGUCCGUGGAUGCAGGUAUUUAGACAGGUUGAGGCAGUGAAGUGAUGAAAGCUAUAUAACUCUCUCUCUCUCUUCAUUAACUCUGCAGUAUGGUGUAGCUCUGCACCCAGUAACCAUGACAACAGCACUCUGCACCACACUUCCCGUUCAUUCCCUGUAAUACUGGAGAGAGAGAGAGGGAGAGAGAGGGCUAAAGUGUUUGGCUCCUUACUGUGUUGCUCUAGCCACAGAUUAAUUCCCUGUCAACUCGCUGAAACAAAGUUUAUUUUUUAAUUAAGAGAAUGCUGUGUCUCCAUCUCUUGCUCCUUUUUUCUCUCUUUCUCUCUCUUUCUGUCUCUCUCUUUCUCUUUCUGUCUCUUUCUCUCUCUUUCUGUCUCUCUCUCUCUUUCUGUCUCUCUCUCUCU